UGCCCAGCAACUCCUGUUCCUACUUCCACGUGGUACCGGAAUGAAACUAUGAAUUGAGCAACCUUAGGGAACAUCGGGUAACCAACCCCGGUGAGAACUUUGGUCGUAGGCUGACAGGGAAGG
rnacentral:ribozyme from 1 species